rnacentral:lncRNA from 1 species
AACAAACAGAUCCAGACAGGGAGGGACAACAAACAGAUCCAGACAGGGAGGGACAACAAACAGAUCCAGACAGGGAGGGACAACAAACAGAUCCAGACAGGGAGGGACAACAAACAGAUCCAGAGAGGGAGGUAGAACAAACAGAUCCAGAGAGGGAGGUAGAACAAACAGAUCCAGACAGGGAGGGACAACAAACAGAUCCAGACAGGGAGGGACAACAAACAGAUCCAGACAGGGAGGGACAACAAACAGAUCCAGACAGAGAGGGACAACAAACAGAUCCAGACAGGGAGGGACAACAAACAGAUCCAGACAGAGAGGGACAACAAACAGAUCCAGACAGGGAGGGACAACAAAC